GUUUAAUCUUAAGAGUCAGCCCAUUCAAGAAAAGAGGUGUUUUAGUAUUUUGACCAAUGAGUUGAGAGAAAUGGUUUGUCAGGGCUUUAUAGGAAAGAUCCUCCUUUCUCCUCUAGGAUCUUUCUGGGAACCAUUCUGUCUCCCUCCCACUGAAUGUGAAUGAGAACACUGUGAGUACAGAUUUGGAAUUGGAGGAUUUUGUAAAUUAGAUGUAGACUGGGAGAUGAGGACAAGGAUGAUGGAGAAGGAAGAGCUCUCGACACGCAUCCUGAUAAUAA
rnacentral:lncRNA from 1 species